rnacentral:lncRNA from 1 species
CUGGACUCUGCUGGGAUGGGUUCAAAGUAGAGAAAGUGCAAGAGGGAAGAGUUACCCGGGCUAGAGAGGACAGCGGGCCGCAGGUUUAGUCCUGGUUGUGGAGUGGGAUGCUGAGAUGGGUCUGGAGGGAUGCAGGAUGUUCUAGGCCGUUAGGAUGGUAAAUAGGGACCUCGCUCCGCGAGGGAUGCUGAACGGGGUCUGGAAGAAUGCAAGAUGUCCUGGUCCGGGCCAGGAAUGAACUGGGAUGACAGACACUGCACACAGUGGUGCUGAGGAUGGAACUCAUGCCUGCU